rnacentral:rRNA from 2 species
CUAACAAGGAUUCCCCUAGUAACGGCGAGUGAAGCGGGAAGAGCUCAAAUUUGUAAUCUGGCGGUCUAUGGCCGUCCGAGUUGUAGUCUGGAGAAGCGUUUUCUGCGUCGGACCGUGUACAAGUCCCUUGGAACAGGGCGUCACAGAGGGUGAGAAUCCCGUCUUUGACACGGACUGCCGGCGCUUUGUGAUGCGCUCUCGAAGAGUCGAGUUGUUUGGGAAUGCAGCUCAAAACGGGUGGUAAAUUCCAUCUAAAGCUAAAUAUUGGCGAAAGACCGAUAGCGAACAAGUACCGUGAGGGAAAGAUGAAAAGCACUUUGGAAAGAGAGUUAAACAGUACGUGAAAUUGUUGAAAGGGAAACGCUUGAAGUCAGUCGCGUCUUCCGGGACUCAGCCUUGCGUUUCUCGCCUGGCGUACUUCCCGGGACGACGGGCCAGCAUCGGUUUCGACCGUCGGAAAAAGGCUUUGGGAAUGUGGCACCUUCGGGUGUGUUAUAGCCCUCGGUCGUAUACGACGGUUGGGAUCGAGGACCGCAGCACGCCUUUAUGGUCGGGGUUCGCCCACGUAACGUGCUUAGGAUGCUGGCGUAAUGGCUUUAAGCGACCCGUCUUGA